UACGUAGGGGACUAGCGUUGUUCGGAAUUACUGGGCGUAAAGCGCACGUAGGCGGAUUUGUAAGUCAGGGGUGAAAUCCCGGGGCUCAACCUCGGAACUGCCUUUGAUACUGCAAAUCUCGAGUCCGGAAGAGGUGAGUGGAAUUCCUAGUGUAGAGGUGAAAUUCGUAGAUAUUAGGAAGAACACCAGUGGCGAAGGCGGCUCACUGGUCCGGUACUGACGCUGAGGUGCGAAAGCUAGGGGAGCAAACGGG
rnacentral:rRNA from 1 species